rnacentral:rRNA from 1 species
AGCGAACGCUGGCGGCAGGCCUAACACAUGCAAGUCGAACGAAGCCUUCGGGCUUAGUGGCGGACGGGUGAGUAACACGUGGGAACGUACCUUUUGGUUCGGAACAACUCAGGGAAACUUGAGCUAAUACCGGAUGAGCCCUUAGGGGGAAAGAUUUAUCGCCGAAAGAGCGGCCCGCGUUAGAUUAGCUAGUUGGUGAGGUAAAGGCUCACCAAGGCAACGAUCUAUAGCUGGUCUGAGAGGAUGAUCAGCCACACUGGGACUGAGACACGGCCCAGACUCCUACGGGAGGCAGCAGUGGGGAAUCUUGCGCAAUGGGCGAAAGCUUGACGCAGCCAUGCCGCGUGAAUGAUGAAGGUCUUAGGAUUGUAAAAUUCUUUUACCAGGGACGAUAAUGACGGUACCUGGAGAAAAAGCCCCGGCUAACUUCGUGCCAGCAGCCGCUGUAACAC